rnacentral:rRNA from 1 species
UACAGAGGGUGCAAGCGUUGUUCGGAAUUAUUGGGCGUAAAGCGCGUGUAGGCGGCUUUGCAAGUCGGGUGUGAAAGCCCUCGGCUCAACCGAGGAAGUGCGCCCGAAACUGCAGAGCUUGAGUACCGGAGAGGGUGGCGGAAUUCCCCAAGUAGAGGUGAAAUUCGUAGAUAUGGGGAGGGACACCGGUGGCGAAGGCGGCCACCUGGACGGAUACUGACGCUGAGACGCGAAAGCGUGGGUAGCAAACAGG